rnacentral:rRNA from 1 species
AAAGCGUGCGCAGGCGGUUAUGUAAGACAGAUGUGAAAUCCCCGGGCUCAACCUGGGAACUGCAUUAGUGACUGCAUAGCUGGAGUACGGCAGAGGGGGAUGGAAUUCCGCGUGUAGCAGUGAAAUGCGUAGAUAUGCGGAGGAACACCGAUGGCGAAGGCAGCCCCCUGGGUCAAAACUGACGCUCAUGCACGAAAGCGUGGGGAGCAAACAGGAUUAGAUACCCGUGU